CCGGGAAAGGAGAUCCUCCACCCAGGGACCACCGACCACCCACUGGGAGGUAAGCCGGCCGGCGUCUGUCUGUCUGUCUGUCUGUCUGAUUUUGUCUCGUUCUGCCUUAUUCUGUCUGUUCUGUGAGCGCUCAGCCAGGUCUGUUCUGUGAGCGCUCAGCCAGGUUCUGUGAGCGCUCAGCCAGGUUGUUUGGAAUUUGGGCGGGACGAAGAAGGAGCUGACGAGCUCGGACUUCUCGCCCCGCAGCCCUGGAAGACGUUCCAAGGGUGUUGGGGCCCGACUUUUCGGGGCCCAAUCUGGGAGAGGAGAAAGAUCCGGACUAACGGCACCUCUGUCUGUAUUUUUGGCUUUCAGAGGGCCCCGGACCUUUGCCACCUCCAUCUGACUUUUUGCUUUCAGUUUGGUACCAAAGCCGUGCAGCACGCCUGUCUGUUGUUUGUUUGACUGUUGGUGUUGUUUGUUUUCUCUGUGUUCUAAUCUUCCUUAGAACUAACAUGGGACAGUCCCUAACAACGCCCCUAAGUCUCACUCUUGAUCAUUAGAAAGACGUCCAUGACCGGGCACACAACCAGUCCGUCGAGGUUAAAAAAAAAAAAGGAAAAUGGCAGACUCUCUGCACAUCCGAGUGGCCCACUUUCGGAGCGGGAUGGCCAGUGAAUGGCACAUUUAAUAAGAUCAUUAUUUUACAG
ensembl:lncRNA